rnacentral:rRNA from 1 species
GAUAAACGCUGGCGGCGUGCCUAAUACAUGCAAGUCGAGCGGAAAGGCUCCUUCGGGAGUACUCGAGCGGCGGACGGCUGAGUAACACGUAGGAACGUACCCCAAAGUGAGGGAUAACUGCUCGAAAGAGUAGCUAAUAACGCAUGUGCUCUAAGGAGUAAAGCUUCGGCGCCUUGGGAACGGCCUGCGCCUGAUUAGCUUGUUGGUGAGGUAAAAGCUCACCAAGGCGACGAUCAGUAGCUGGUCUGAGAGGAUGAUCAGCCAGACUGGGACUGAGAACGGCCCAGACUCCUACGGGAGGCAGCAGUAGGGAAUUUUCCACAAUGGGCGAAAGCCUGAUGGAGCAACGCCGCGUGCAGGAUGAAUGCCUUCGGGUUGUAAACUGCUUUUAUAUGUGACGAAUAUGACGGUAGCAUAUGAAUAAGGAUCGGCUAACUCCGUGCCAGCCGCCGCAGUAA